rnacentral:misc_RNA from 1 species
GAUGAAGAACGCAGUGAAAUGCGAUAAGUAAUGUGAAUUGCAGAAUUCAGUGAAUCAUCGAAUCUUUGAACGCACAUUGCGCCCGCUAGUAUUCUGGCGGGCAUGCCUGUUCGAGCGUCAUUUCAACCCUCAAGCCCCCGGGCUUGGUGUUGGGGAUCGGCGUGCCCUCGCGGCGCGCCGUCCCCUAAAUCUAGUGGCGGUCUCGCUGUAGCUUCCUCUGCGUAGUAGCAACACUCGCACUGGAUCGCAGCGCGGCCACGCCGUUAAACCCCCCACUUCUGAAAGUUUGACCUCGGAUCAGGUAGGAAUACCCGCUGAACUUAAGCAUAUCAAUAAGCGGAGGA